rnacentral:rRNA from 1 species
UACGUAGGGGGCUAGCGUUGUCCGGAAUCAUUGGGCGUAAAGCGCGCGUAGGCGGCCAGAUAAGUCCGGUGUGAAAGUCACAGGCUCAACCUGUGAAUGCCGCUGGAAACUGUCUGGCUAGAGUCCGGAAGGGGCGAGUGGAAUUCCUGGUGUAGCGGUGAAAUGCGCAGAUAUCAGGAGGAACACCGAUGGCGAAGGCAGGUCUCUGGGCCACUACUGACGCUGAGAAGCGAAAGCGUGGGGAGCAAACAGG